rnacentral:antisense_RNA from 1 species
UUUGAUCGACCCCAACCACAGCGGGCGGUCGGCGGGCCGAUCCUGGCCGUAGGUCGCCAACAAUGCCUGCGCCUC